UUUGAUUCUCUCCAGUCCACAGAGCGCCAAAACCAGUAUGCAGCCAGAUGCCGAUACCAGGAAAGUGCUCGAAAAGUUACAAGAAAUGGCUGUUUCUUUUUGGUGCCAACACGUGCAUUUCAUAUUCUAACAAUCUCUGCGGCAAAGGCGAUAACAGCUUCCGGACGUAUCCUGAAUGCAUGGCACGAUGCAGUUAUAAUGAACACCACACGCAUUCGUCAAAUUACCCAAGGCCGAUGACGAAUGAUUUGCCUCAAAGAACAAACACAGGAAAGCACAGGCUCUAAAUUGGCAGCGCCUUUACGCUACAUUUCUGGGAAAUGUCACUCACAUAAAAUCACCCAAUAAAGAAAAUCAUAAUCCAG